GAUGAACGCUGGCGGCGUGCCUAAUACAUGCAAGUCGAGCGAACAGACUAGGAGCUUGCUCCUCUGACGUUAGCGGCGGACGGGUUAGUAACACGUGGAUAACCUACCUAUAAGACUGGGAUAACUUCGUGAAACCGGAGCUAAUACCGGAUAAUAUAUUUAACCGCAUGGUUCAAUAGUGAAAGACGGUUUUGCUGUCACUUAUAGAUGGAUCCGCGCCGCAUUAGCUAGUUGGUAAGGUAACGGCUUACCAAGGCAACGAUGCGUAGCCGACCUGAGAGGGUGAUCGGCCACACUGGAACUGAGACACGGUCCAGACUCCUACGGGAGGCAGCAGUAGGGAAUCUUCCGCAAAGGGCGAAAGCUUGACGGAGCAACGCCGCGUGAGUGAUGAAGGUAUUCGGAUCGUAAAACUCUGUUAUUAGGGAAGAACAAAUGUGUAGGUAACUAUGCACGUCUUGAAGGUACCUAAUCAGAAAGACACGGCUAACUACGUG
rnacentral:rRNA from 1 species